ensembl:lncRNA
CUAAACUUUGGAAAGGAAUUGAAAUUCUUUCUCCUGGAGUCUAAUGAAUAACUUGACUGUAAAGACUGUAAGGAUUACUAUUUUAAAAGUAUAUGUAUGCUGUCUACUCUACGACUACUACGUAUGUAUACAUGUGUAUACACGUAUGUCUUAUGUUUAUUUGUUCCAAUGUAUGAAGAUGUCAGGGUACCUGAUCUAAUCAUGGAUAAAUGUGACAAUAACAGAAAAAAACAACAAGAGAAAAGGUACUUAUUACAUAAUAUCUUUUUUAUACCCUGAGGUACCCCUGAGCAAGGUACUGUCUCUACACACUGCUCCACUGAGUGAAUGGGUUAAAUGCAGAGAGUAAUUUCCCUACAGGGAUCAGCUGUAAUGUAUCACAACUUUGGAAAACUCAGUUCAAUUUCUCAUUGAACAAUUCAUGAAAAUGUAUUUUUAUAUUGUUUCAGAAUAUCAGAGAGGAAAUGUAGCUGAUCCAGACAGUGUUACAUAUGCUGCUGUCACGGUCAAACCAAAGAGGGAGAGAGUUUGUAAACAGACAAAUGAAUCAGAUCCAGACAAAACAACAUAUGCUACUGUUGCAAAUCAGAGGAAAGACAGAGGUCAUUGACAGCAAAAAAAAAGACAUCUGAAUACAGAAAAAUGAGACAUGAGUCUGAAGCUUUUUGACAUAUUUUAUUGUGUUUUGGAUUCAUUACAAUGUCCUGCUUAAAGUAUUUCUUUUGGCUGUGUUGCAGUGCUACUGAUUGUAAAUCUAAGUCGUAUUAUUACUUCAGACUUGCCAGAUAAAAUGUAUUGUUGUUAAUUAAAAAAGUAGAA